GUGGGGAAUAUUGCGCAAUGGGGGAAACCCUGACGCAGCGACGCCGUGUGAGGGAAGAAGGCUUUCGGGUCGUAAACCUCUGUCAGAAAGGAAGAACCUCCCAAGUCCGAAUAGGGCUUGGGACUGACGGUACUUUCAAAGGAAGCACCGGCUAACUCCGUGCCAGCAGCCGCGGUAAUACGGAGGGUGCAAGCGUUAAUCGGAAUCACUGGGCGUAAAGCGCGCGUAGGCCGCUUUGUAAGUCGGACGUGAAAGCCCUCGACUCAACCGGGGAACUGCGUUAGAUACUGCGAGGCUUGAGUCCUGGAGAGGGUGGCGGAAGUCCGGGUGUAGGAGUGAAAUCCGUAGAUAUCCGGAGGAACACCGGUGGCGAAGGCGGCCACCUGGACAGGUACUGACGCUGAGGCGCGAAAGCGUGGGGAGCAAACAGGAUUAGAUACCCUAGUAGUCC
rnacentral:rRNA from 1 species